rnacentral:rRNA from 1 species
GAUGAACGCUGGCGGCAUGCCUAACACAUGCAAGUCGAGCGGUAAGGCUCUUCGGAGUACACGAGAGGCGGACGGCUGAGUAACGCGUAGGAACACACCCUGCAGUGAGGGAUAAGACACCGAAAGGUGUUCUAAUACGCAUAACGUUCUUCGAAUUAAAGCAUUUAUGGGCUGAAGCAUUGCCCGGCUUCAUAUUAGAGAGUUGGUGAGGUAAUGGCUAACCAAGUCGAUGAUGUGUAGCUGGCCUGAGAGAAUGAUCAGCCAGACUGGAACUGAGACACGGUCCAGACUCCUACGGGAGGAAGCAGUGAGGAAUAUUUCACAAUGAGCGAAAGCUUGAUGGAGCAAUGCCGCGUGCAGGAUGAAGGCCCUCGGGUUGUAAACUGCUUUUAUAAGAGAAGAUUAUGACGGUAACUUAUGAAUAAGAGACGGCUAACUACGUG